AGGGAGAGUAUCGUGGUUACAGCUGGAUCACCUAAGGCAGAGAGGGAAGGAACCAACAGGUAUAUGAAGAAGACUAUUUCCUCCUCAGGAAGAAAAAAUCACCUAUAAUGAAUUACAACAGAAGAAAUUCAGACAUCCAUGCCAUGGGUGCUAAUACAUUUUUAGAAGCUGAAAAAUGGAGUUUCACUCUUGUUGCCCAGGCUGGAGUGCACUGCUGCGAUCUCGGCUCACCGCAAACCUCUGCUUCCCGGGUUCAAGCGAUUCUCCUGCUUCAGCAUCCCGAGUAGCUGGGACUACAGGCAUUGAUUCAAGAAAAUGGCAACCAAGUACCAGCUCACAAAACAAAUUACCUUAUGCAAUUGAGACACUGCAAUAUCAUACAAGAACAUAGUGAAACCAAGACUCUCACUGAAGUCCAGGAUGAACCAUAGGUAUAGAUUCCCCGAGUAAGACCUAGAUCAGACUCCAGGAGAGGUUUCAGGAUCCAGGAAACAACAGCAAACAAAGUAUUGUUCUACAUAGUUAAUUGUUCCCACUCAAUUAUGACAAGAUAAAAUUCUCUAAAUCUGCCUAUCUUUACUUAUAUCAUCAUAAAAAAUUAGCAAUUUUUUGCAUACCCACAAAUAUUCAUAUAAUCUAUUAAAAUACACAUGUAUAAAAAAUCCCCCCUCUAUAAGCUCCCUCCUCUAUGGAUCCUCACAAAUCAGCACAUCUUUGGAAUCAGCAC